UACGUAGGGUGCAAGCGUUAAUCGGAAUUACUGGGCGUAAAGCGUGCGCAGGCGGUUGUGUAAGGCAGAUGUGAAAUCCCCGGGCUCAACCUGGGAACUGCAUUUGUGACUGCACGGCUCGAGUGCGGCAGAGGGGGAUGGAAUUCCGCGUGUAGCAGUGAAAUGCGUAGAUAUGCGGAGGAACACCGAUGGCGAAGGCAAUCCCCUGGGCCUGCACUGACGCUCAUGCACGAAAGCGUGGGGAGCAAACAGG
rnacentral:rRNA from 1 species